rnacentral:rRNA from 1 species
AUUAUUUAAGAGCUUUACAUUGUAAGUAAAUAAAAAUUAUGAAAGCAAAAAAUUAUGGCGGUAUUUUAAGCUUAUCAGAGGAAUUUGCUCUUUAAUGGAUAAAACACCUAAAUCUUACUUAAAUUUGUCAUUACAAUUUGUAUACCACUAUAAAAACAAUUUAUAACUUUAAUUGUUUAAAUUUAUUAAAUUAAAAUAUAUUAAGUCAAGGUGCAGUAAAAAUUUGAGAAUGAAGUGAAUUACAUUACUUUUUAGAGAAAGAAAAUUAAAUUAAUAUUUAGGAUUUGAAAGUAAAAUUAAAAUAGAAUGUUAAUUUGAAUUAAGCUCUAAAAUAUGUAC